GAUGAACGCUGGCGGCGUGCCUAAUACAUGCAAGUCGAGCGAACGGACGAGAAGCUUGCUUCUCUGAUGUUAGCGGCGGACGGGUGAGUAACACGUGGAUAACCUACCUAUAAGACUGGGAUAACUUCGGGAAACCGGAGCUACUACCGGAUGAUAUUUUGAACCGCAUGGUUCAAAAGUGAAAGACGGUCUUGCUGUCACUUCUAGAUGGAUCCGCGCUGCAUUAGCUAGUUGGUAAGGUAACGGCUUACCAAGGCAACGAUGCAUAGCCGACCUGAGAGGGUGAUCGGCCACACUGGAACUGAGACACGGUCCAGACUCCUACGGGAGGCAGCAGUAGGGAAUCUUGCGCAAUGGGCGAAAGCCUGACGGAGCAACGCCGCGUGAGUGAUGAAGGUCUUCGGAUCGUAAAACUCUGUUAUUAGGGAAGAACAUAUGUGUAAGUAACUGUGCACAUCUUGACGGUACCUAAUCAGAAAGCCACGGCUAACUACGUG
rnacentral:rRNA from 1 species